AAGGUGGUGAGAGCAUGCAGACUGGCGCUUUCCUUUAGGCAACUGUUCCGGAAAGAUGUCAUAGUCGACCUGAUGUGUUGGCGUCGCUGGGGACAUAACGAACUGGACGACGCAAUGUUUACGAACCCCGGCAUGUACAAGAUCAUUAAUGAUCGUCAGAGUGUUCCAGACAUGUAUUCCGAACAGCUGGUCGAAGAAAACGUUCUGUCUCAGGAGGAAGUACAGAAAACUGUUGGUGACUACAA